AACGAACGCUGGCGGCAUGCCUAACACAUGCAAGUCGAACGAGACCUUCGGGUCUAGUGGCGCACGGGUGCGUAACGCGUGGGAACCUGCCCUUAGGUUCGGAAUAACUCCCCGAAAGGGGUGCUAAUACCGGAUAAUGUCUUCGGACCAAAGAUUUAUCGCCUUUGGAUGGGCCCGCGUUGGAUUAGCUAGUUGGUAGGGGAAAAGCCUACCAAGGCGACGAUCCAUAGCUGGUCUGUGAGGAUGAUCAGCCACACUGGGACUGAGACACGGCCCAGACUCCUGCGGGCGGCAGCAGUGGGAAUAUUGGACAAUGGGCGAAAGCCUGAUCCAGCAAUGCCGCGUGAGUGAUGAAGGCCUUAGGGUUGUAAAGCUCUUUUACCCGGGAUGAUAAUGACAGUACCGGGAGAAUAAGCUCCGGCUAACUCCGUG
rnacentral:rRNA from 1 species